UACGUAGGGGGCAAGCGUUGUCCGGAUUCAUUGGGCGUAAAGAGCUCGUAGGCGGUCUGUCGCGUCGGCUGUGAAAUCCCGAGGCUCAACCUCGGGUCUGCAGUCGAUACGGGCAAACUAGAGUAUUGCAGGGGAGACUGGAAUUCCUGGUGUAGCGGUGAAAUGCGCAGAUAUCAGGAGGAACACCGGUGGCGAAGGCGGGUCUCUGGGCAAUAACUGACGCUGAGGAGCGAAAGCGUGGGGAGCGAACAGG
rnacentral:rRNA from 1 species